rnacentral:tRNA from 1 species
UCCCUGGUGGUCCAGUGGUCAAGAUUCUGCACUUCUAAUGCAGGGAUAUGGGUUCAAUUCCUGGUUGGGUAG